rnacentral:rRNA from 1 species
UACAGAGGGUGCGAGCGUUGUCCGGAAUCACUGGGCGUAAAGGGUGCGUAGGUGGCCGGUUAAGUCUGACGUGAAAUCUCCGAGCCUAACUCGGAAACUGCAUCGGAAACUAUCCGGCUCGAGGGUUGGAGGGGGGACUGGAAUACUUGGUGUAGCAGUGAAAUGCGUAGAUAUCAAGAGGAACACCAGUGGCGAAGGCGAGUCCCUGGACAACACCUGACACUGAGGCACGAAAGCUAGGGGAGCAAACAGG